GAUGAACGCUGGCGGCGUGCCUAACACAUGCAAGUCGAGCGAUUCUCUUCGGAGAAGAGCGGCGGACGGGUGAGUAACGCGUGGGUAACCUGCCCUGUACACACGGAUAACAUACCGAAAGGUAUGCUAAUACGAGAUAAUAUGCUUUUAUCGCAUGGUAGAAGUAUCAAAGCUCCGGCGGUACAGGAUGGACCCGCGUCUGAUUAGCUAGUUGGUAAGGUAACGGCUUACCAAGGCGACGAUCAGUAGCCGACCUGAGAGGGUGAUCGGCCACAUUGGAACUGAGACACGGUCCAAACUCCUACGGGAGGCAGCAGUGGGGAAUAUUGAACAAUGGGCGAAAGCCUGAUGCAGCAACGCCGCGUGAGCGAUGAAGGCCUCCGGGUCGUAAAGCUCUGUCCUCAAGGAAGAUAAUGACGGUACUUGAGGAGGAAGCCCCGGCUAACUACGUGCCAGCAGCCGCGGUAA
rnacentral:rRNA from 1 species